rnacentral:rRNA from 1 species
AGUAGUUUGAUCAUGGCUCGAGGACGAACGCUGGCGGCGUGCUUAACACAUGCAAGUCGAACGGGCACUUCGGUGUCAGUGGCGAACGGGUGAGUAACGCGUGAGGAACCUGGCUUUUGCAGGGGGAUAGCGUUUCGAAAGGGACGGUAAUACCGCAUAAGACCACAUUGCCGCAUGGCAGAGGGGUCAAAGGAGAAAUCCGGCAGAAGAUGGACUCGCGUCCCAUUAGGCAGUUGGCGGGGUAAAAGCCCACCAAACCGACGAUGGGUAGCCGACCUGAGAGGGUGAUCGGCCACAUUGGAACUGAGAGACGGUCCAAACUCC